rnacentral:rRNA from 1 species
UACGUAGGGCGCAAGCGUUGUCCGGAAUUACUGGGCGUAAAGCGUGCGCAGGCGGUUUGUUAAGCCAGAUGUGAAAGCCCCGGGCUCAACCUGGGAACUGCGUUUGGUACUGGCAAGCUAGAGUACGGCAGAGGGGGGUGGAAUUCCACGUGUAGCAGUGAAAUGCGUAGAGAUGUGGAGGAACACCGAUGGCGAAGGCAGCCCCCUGGGCCGAUACUGACGCUCAGGCACGAAAGCGUGGGGAGCAAACAGG